CCCGCCAAGACUUUUGGGACAACCGCCACCAUGUUAAGCCCAGCAGCGAUCUCCUCUGGCGGAUUCAGGUUCAUAUAUCUAUAUCUAUAUCUAUAUCUAUAUCUAUAUCUAUAUAUAUAUACCCUUUUUUUUCCAUUAACAUUUUUCAUGAGCCAUUCUACCUAAUUAUAACUCAAUUCAUUAAUUAUGGUAAUUAAUUUCUUGUUUAAUUUUUUAUAUUGUUAAUUUUGUUUGUCACGUAAAGAGUAUUAGCAAAGUGGUACAAUAUUUGAGUUUUGAUCACCCCCUGCAAAAUGAAUUUCUGUUGAUUGAUUUUUGACAAUGAGAAAGUUGGUUUGUAACUUAGUGCCUUCUUUUUCCACUAAAAUUACUGUUUACUUGACCAAUAUUUGAUUUCCAGAUCGAUUUUAUUUUCUCCUCUUAAUUUUUAUUUAAUUAAUUAAUUAAUCAAGCAAACUUUACUUGACCACCACAAAGUCUUCUUUAUAUGCUCGAUUUAUCAUUCAUUACACACAGACAGGCCUAACAAAGUUAUAUUCGUUUUAUAAUUAUUGUCUUAAUAAUUAUUGGAUUUUUCGGACAAAUAUCUAAUAUUAUGUAUAUCUAAAAAUUACCGAAAAAUGCAGUUCCUGCAUGAGAACAAAUUCAAACAGACAAUACCUCAAGUAAAGGUGGCUGACGGUGAAGACAUAACCUACGAGACUGCCACCGCCACUCUCCGGCGAGCGGUUCACUUCUUCUCCGCCUUGCAAGCAAGUGACGGCCACUGGCCUGCAGAAAAUGCCGGCCCACUAUUCUUUCUUCCACCUCUGGUAAAUUAACAAUAAUUAGCAUCUUACUAAACAAUCCAAUUUUAUAUUUUUAAAAUCUUUAAAAAAUAAAAAAUUAAAAAAAAUCUAACCUCUAUGCAAAACAAUACAGGUGAUGAUACUGUACAUCACAGGGCAUCUCAACACAGUCUUCUCAGCAGAACACCGUCGAGAAAUUCUCC
rnacentral:lncRNA from 1 species